UACGUAGGGUGCGAGCGUUGUCCGGAAUUAUUGGGCGUAAAGAGCUUGUAGGCGGUCUGUCGCGUCUGCUGUGAAAAUCCGGGGCUCAACCCCGGACUUGCAGUGGGGUACGGGCAGACUAGAGGUGUGGUAGGGGAGAAUGGAAUUCCCGGUGUAGCGGUGAAAUGCGCAGAUAUCGGGAGGAACACCGGUGGCGAAGGCGGUUCUC
rnacentral:rRNA from 1 species